rfam:Triticum aestivum genome assembly, contig: Triticum_aestivum_CS42_TGACv1_scaffold_272322_3DS
UUCGUACUCCCUCCGUUCGGAAUUACUUGUCGUGAAAAUGGAUGUAUCUAGAUGUAUUUGAUACAUCCAUUUCUGCAACAAGUAAUUUCGAACGGAGGGAGUAUUUU